rnacentral:rRNA from 1 species
UACGUAGGUGGCAAGCGUUGUCCGGAUUUACUGGGUGUAAAGGGCGCGUAGGCGGGCGAGCAAGUCAGAUGUGAAAUACCGUGGCUUAACCACGGGGCUGCAUUUGAAACUGUUCGUCUUGAGUAUCGGAGAGGCAGGCGGAAUUCCUAGUGUAGCGGUGAAAUGCGUAGAUAUUAGGAGGAACACCAGUGGCGAAGGCGACCUGCUGGAUGACAACUGACGCUGAGGCGCGAAAGCGUGGGGAGCAAAC